rnacentral:rRNA from 1 species
UACGUAGGGGGCUAGCGUUGUCCGGAUUUAUUGGGCGUAAAGAGCGUGUAGGCGGUCUGUUAAGUCUGGCGUGAAAGCUCUCGGCUAAACCGGGAGAGGUCGUUGGAUACUGGCAGACUAGAGGACGGUAGAGGCGUGUGGAAUUCCGGGUGUAGUGGUGAAAUGCGUAGAGAUCCGGAGGAACACCAGUGGCGAAGGCGACACGCUGGGCCGUACCUGACGCUAAAGCGCGACAGCAUGGGGAGCAAACGGGA